AUUGAACGCUGGCGGCAGGCCUAACACAUGCAAGUCGAACGGAGUGGCGAACGGGUGAGUAACACGUGGGUGACCAGCCCUGAACUUCGGGAUAAGCCUGGGAAAAUGGGUCUAAUACCGGAUAGUGUGGGAUGGGCUCGCGGCCUAUCAGCUUGUUGGUGGGGUAAGGGUCUACCAGGGCGGCGACGGGGAGCCGGCCUGAGAGGGUGGACGGCCAAAUUGGGACUGAGGCACGGCCCAGAGGCCUACGGGAGGCAGCAGUGGGGAAUAUUGCACAAUGGGCGGAAGCCUGAUGCAGGGACGCCGGGUGGGGGAUGACGGCCUUCGGGUUGUAAACUCCUUUCACCAUCGACGCGGUAGAUGGAGAAGAAGCACCGGCUAACUACGUGCCAGCAGCCGCGGUAAUAC
rnacentral:rRNA from 1 species